AACGAACGCUGGCGGCAUGCCUAACACAUGCAAGUCGAACGAGACCUUCGGGUCUAGUGGCGCACGGGUGCGUAACGCGUGGGAAUCUGCCCUUGGGUUCGGAAUAACAGUUGGAAACGGCUGCUAAUACCGGAUGAUGACGUAAGUCCAAAGAUUUAUCGCCCAAGGAUGAGCCCGCGUAGGAUUAGCUAGUUGGUGAGGUAAAGGCUCACCAAGGCGACGAUCCUUAGCUGGUCUGAGAGGAUGAUCAGCCACACUGGGACUGAGACACGGCCCAGACUCCUACGCGAGGCAGCAGUGGGGAAUAUUGCACAACCGCCGGAAGCCUGAUCCUGCAAUGCCGCGUGAGUGAUGAAGGCCGUAGGGUUCUAAAGCGCUUUUAACCGGGAUGAUAAUGACAGUACCGGGAGAAUAAGCCCCGGCUAACUCCGUG
rnacentral:rRNA from 1 species